GGGUUCGUAGCUCAGCUGGUAGAGCAGUUGACUCUUAAUCAAUUGGUCGGGGGUUCGAGUCCCCCCGGACCCACCA
rnacentral:tRNA from 1 species